rnacentral:sRNA from 12 species
AGUUUUGGUCGUAGAGUUGCGACCAACCAAAAUUAAAGAACGCUCAUGAGGA